CGUAUAUUAACGUUGUUGCAGUUAAAAAGCUCGUAGUUGGAUUUGUGGUUUGUUGCGCGGUCCCAAUAUUAUGUUGGGUGCUGUUGCGAGGAGCCAUCCUUGGGUGGAAUCUGUGUGGCAUUAGGUUGUCGCGCAGGGGAUGCCCAUCGUUUACUGUGAAAAAAUUAGAGUGUUCAAAGCAGGCUUAUGCCGUUGAAUAUAUUAGCAUGGAAUAAUGAGAUAGGACCUUGGUACUAUUUUGUUGGUUUGCGCACCGAGGUAAUGAUUAAUAGGGACAGUUGGGGG
rnacentral:rRNA from 1 species